rnacentral:rRNA from 1 species
UACAGAGGGUGCGAGCGUUGUUCGGAAUUAUUGGGCGUAAAGGGUGCGUAGGCGGUUUGGUAAGUCUUGUGUGAAAUCUACAGGCUCAACUUGUAGUCUGCACGAGAAACUGCCGGGCUUGAGUAUGGGAGAGGUGAGUGGAAUUCCUGGUGUAGCGGUGAAAUGCGUAGAUAUCAGGAGGAACACCUGUGGCGAAAGCGGCUCACUGGACCAUAACUGACGCUGAUGCACGAAAGCUAGGGGAGCAAACAGG